rnacentral:antisense_RNA from 1 species
UACUUGGCUUUGUAGCAUGCAACAGGAGCAAAGCACGACAAAGGCAGCCAGAUGUGGUUUAAGGUUUUGUUUGCUAAAAGAAGACGUCCAAAGUUCACUCGGUAAGCUCAAACUCGCUGAGUCCGGGGCAGGCGCUUCCAGAUGGCUCUGCGUCCCUUUCAAUGAAAUUCUUCUUCCAUUAACGACAGGGUUUUUAAACGUGCCUCCAAGACCUGCCUGCACGUACUGUACACCAAACUAAGGCGACAUUUUCCCCCAAAAAAGGCAAGCUGAAUUUGGAAAAGUCAGAGCAA